rnacentral:lncRNA from 1 species
CGGGUUGCCUCCCAUUCAGCGCUUAAUUUUUAUGUCUUUAGCUCGACUUCCUGAUUAAACUAAUUAUCAGGUUCAUACAGCACCAUGGGCGCUUUUGCUGGUGGUUUUGCCCAAUAAUGCUUAACUCGUUGGCCGUUAACUGUAAAUUCCUGGCCUUUAUCAUUUUGUAAGGUGAUAGCUCCGGAGGGUUGAACGUUCGUUACGGUGAAGGGUCCAGACCAACGGGAUUUUAGCUUUCCAGG